rnacentral:rRNA from 1 species
AUGAACGCUAGCGGCAGGCUUAAUACAUGCAAGUUGAGGGGCAGCAUGAUAUACGCGAGUAUAUUGAUGGCGACCGGCGGACGGGUGAGUAAUAGGUAGGAGACCUACCUCAUACAGGGGGAUAGCAUAGAGAAAUCUGUGGUAAUACCCCAUGAGGUUAUAUGAAUAGAGGCAUAUAAUCAAAGCAUAAGCGAUUAUGCGGUAUGAGAGGGGCCUACUGACCAUUAGCUAGUUGGUGAGGUAAGGGCUCACCAAGGCGAAGAUGGUUAGGGGUUUUGAGAGAGAGACCCCCCACAUUGGAACUGAGAGACGGUCCAGACUCCUACGGGAGGCAGCAGUAGGGAAUAUUGGGCAAUGGGCGAAAGCCUGACCCAGCCAUGCCGCGUGAAGGAAGACGGCCUUACGGGUUGUAAACUUCUUUACUACGCGAAUAGAGGUUAGUACGAGAUACUAAUAGGAAGGUAGUGUAGUAAAAAGCACCGGCUAACUCCGUG